rnacentral:rRNA from 1 species
GCCAGCAGCCAUAUCACCCUGCAACUCACAACUGGCAGCCAACUGGAACUCAGCAGGUGUGAGCCUGGUCAGUACCUGGAUGGGAGACCUCCUGGGAAAAACUAAGGUUGCUGCUGGAA